rnacentral:rRNA from 1 species
UACGUAGGGGGCAAGCGUUGUCCGGAUUUAUUGGGCGUAAAGAGCGUGUAGGCGGCCAAACAGGUCAGCUGUGAAAACUCGAGGCUCAACCUCGAGACGUCGGUUGAAACCGUUUGGCUAGAGUCCGGAAGAGGAGAGUGGAAUUCCCGGUGUAGCGGUGAAAUGCGCAGAUAUCAGGAGGAACACCAAUGGCGAAGGCAGCUCGCUGGGACGGUACUGACGCUGAGACGCGAAAGCGUGGGGAGCAAACAGG